AGAGGUCACAAGUUUGAGGCCACAGCAGAAGCACCCAUGGUGCGGCCCUGUCAGAUUCCAGUGAAUCUAAAUUCCGCU
rnacentral:ribozyme from 1 species